AGACCCGUAAGGCACGAACCCAGAACCCCGUGCUGGAUGGCAUUUUCUGACGAUCGGGAUGGUGUUUUCCGGCGACAAACCCGACCACUUCAGGCCAGCCCGACCCGGCAGCAACCCGAUCCGUCAACCCGUGACCCGAACCCGGAAAUCCAACCCGGCAGUGACCCGUUUCCGGCAGCGAAUAUCCGGCAACUUUCCGUGACCGAACUCACUGUUUUCAUUGGAUUUUCUAGUAAAAAUCCUUAAUAUGAUGAACUGAGAGACUGUACAAAAGGAUUGUGAGUAUUCCUUACUCACUCAGAGUGAUACACGUAGAGCUUUCCUUAA